GAGGGGGGUGCACAGCAGUCCUCGGUGAUGGAACAAGACAAGAAAUGCCUCCAGCGUCCUUCCUGAGGGACAGAAGGCCUCUUGGCACCUAGCACACGCCUUCCAGCCAGGCCAGCUGGAUUCAAUAGAACUAGUUCAAGCCUCCACCUACAGAUUGGAUGGAAUUCCAGGAUCACAAACAUGCACUUUCGUAUCCUCUCCUGGAUCAUCUAGGGAUCCUGGAAAACUCCACCACAGUCUUCUUCCAAGCACUGUUGCUGCGAUGGACCUAGAUCUUUGGAAUGCCUGGCAAGCAGGAGGCCCUCUUCCCAGAUAGUUCAGCAGCUCAUUUUGUGGUCUUGAAUCAGGGCCACAGCACACAGUUGUGAAAGCAGCCCAUUGCACAACUUCAAGAGUGGGAUGGCUGGGUCAGAGGGCAGAUGUACACUUAAUUUCACGAAGAAACUGAUGGUUUUCCAGGAUGACUGUACCAGUUUGCACUCCCAUUUGCCACUCCCUGU